rnacentral:rRNA from 1 species
UGGGGAAUAUUGCACAAUGGGGGAAACCCUGAUGCAGCGACGCCGCGUGAAGGAUGAAGUAUUUCGGUAUGUAAACUUCUAUCAGCAGGGAAGAAAAUGACGGUACCUGACUAAGGAGCCCCGGCUAACUACGUGCCAGCAGCCGCGGUAAUACGUAGGGGGCAAGCGUUAUCCGGAUUUAUUGGGUUUAAAGGGUGCGUAGGCGGCGGUGCAAGUCUGGAGUGAAAGCCCGGGCUCAACCCCGGGACUGCUUUGGAAACUGUGGAUCUAGAGUGCCGGAGAGGUAAGCGGAAUUCCUAGUGUAGCGGUGAAAUGCGUAGAUAUUAGGAGGAACACCAGUGGCGAAGGCGGCUUACUGGACGGUAACUGACGUUGAGGCUCGAAAGCGUGGGGAGCAAACAGGAUUAGAUACCC